rnacentral:rRNA from 1 species
AUUGAACGCUGGCGGCAGGCUUAACACAUGCAAGUCGAACGGUAACAGGGGGUAGCUUGCUACUUUGCUGACGAGUGGCGGACGGGUGAGUAAGGUAUGGGAAUUUGCCGAAUGGAGGGGGACAACAGUUGGAAACGGCUGCUAAUACCGCAUAACGUCGCGAGACCAAAGGGUGGGACUUUCGGGCCACCUGCCAUUUAGAUAGACGCCCAUAUGAGUAUUAGCUUAGGUUGGUGGUAGGUAAGG